GUCCACGCCGUAAACGAUGGGCACUAGGUGUUCGGGGUAUUGACCCCCUGAGUGCCGCAGCUAACGCAUUAAGUGCCCCGCCUGGGGACUACGGCCGCAAGGUUAAAACUCAAAGGAAUUGACGGGGCCCGCACAAGCGGUGGAGCAUGUGGUUCAAUUCGACGCAACGCGAAGAACCUUACCUGGGCUAGACAACAUCGGACAGCCUCAGAAAUGAGGUCUUCCCGCAAGGGACCGGUGGUUCAGGUGCUGCAUGGCUGUCGU
rnacentral:rRNA from 1 species